rnacentral:rRNA from 1 species
AUUGAACGCUGGCGGCGUGCUUAACACAUGCAAGUCGUGCGGUAACAGGCGUAGCAAUACGUGCUGACGAGCGGCGAACGGGUGCGUAAUACAUGGGAAUCUGCCCUUUAGUGGGGAAUAACCCGGCGAAAGCCGGGCUAAUGCCGCAUAAGAUCUUCGGAUGAAAGCGGGGGAUCGUAAGACCUCGCGCUGAUGGAUGAGCCCAUGUCGGAUUAGCAGUUGGUGAGGUAACGGCUCACCAAGGCGACGAUCCGUAGCUGGUCUGAGAGGACGGCCAGCCACACUGGGACUGAGACACGGCCCAGACUCCUACGGGAGGCAGCAGUGGGGAAUAUUGGACAAUGGGCGAAAGCCUGAUCCAGCGACGCCGCGUGUGUGAAGAAGGCCU